GACGAACGCUGGCGGCGUGCCUAAUACAUGCAAGUAGAACGCACAGUUUAUACCGUAGCUUGCUACACCAUAGACUGUGAGUUGCGAACGGGUGAGUAACGCGUAGGUAACCUGCCUGGUAGCGGGGGAUAACUAUUGGAAACGAUGGCUAAUACCGCAUAAUAUUAAUUAUUGCAUGAUAAUUAAUUGAAAGGUGCAAUUGCACCACUACCAGAUGGACCUGCGUUGUAUUAGCUAGUAGGUGAGGUAACGGCUCACCUAGGCGACGAUACAUAGCCGACCUGAGAGGGUGAUCGGCCACACUGGGACUGAGACACGGCCCAGACUCCUACGGGAGGCAGCAGUAGGGAAUCUUCGGCAAUGGACGAAAGUCUGACCGAGCAACGCCGCGUGAGUGAAGAAGGGUUUCGGAUCGUAAAGCUCUGUUGUAAGAGAAGAACGGGGGUGAGAGUGGAAAGUUCACACUGUGACGGUAUCUUACCAGAAAGGGACGGCUAACUACGUG
rnacentral:rRNA from 1 species